GAACAAUUGCGCAACGUCAUUCCCCAUAAGAAGAGGGACUGCAUUUACAGCUAUUGGCAAAUAGUACGGAGAGCAGCUGUCCAGAUGGCCUGAAAGCAUUUUACUGUUUCACACAAAGUAAUAUCGGCUGGAUGACACUUAAUAGAUACCAGUUUGCAUGAUAAAGGUAUGCCACCAAACACCGUAUUUUCUCAGUUUCAUACACGUGCCAACUGUUUAUAUCACUGUUGCUGGAAGCGAGGCAGUAUUCGCUUAAGAUAUUGACAUGUUUUGACCAAAUGACCGUGGCUCAACAGGAAAUACAUGGAACUGCUCAACAGGAAAUACAGAGGAUGUCUGGAUGCCCAGGAAAGAACAGUACUGAAGUGAUUUCGAUAUUGACAUACUUUCACCGAAAUGAUCGCAGUACAAUGGAUGGCAUCCGGAAUUUUUAGCAAGCGCAUAUUGGAACUCGGAGCCUUUAAAAUGAAAUAUUGCAUGAAGAUCCAACAGAUGCAGUUUGUAAAAUUGUAAAUAUUAGACCAAACCUAAAAUGCACAUUUGGUACCAAAAUAUUGUCAAUGAUCUGCAUAGUUGAAAUGCGAGUACAUAUGGGGUUAACAUUACUUGAGGAUAUCAAUACAUCUCUAAAAUGUUUUAUUCUUCCAUUUUUAAGGUUUUGAAUAAUUUGUUUCAACCAAUGCAGUAAUUCAUUUCGAUCUUGGAAAAGGUUGAAGUGCAUGAAAUGUACAUCGUUCAAAGCCUGUUUGGCAUAUGAAUCAAUAUUUCUUAAGUUUUGGAAAUUGUUAAGCUUUUGGUUCAUUAUAUUUCCUUCAAAGUUGAUGUUUAUAUUCUACUCUUUUAGAAACAAGUAUUUUUUUUAAUAUUCUAGACAUAUCAAACAUUUUUAUGGAUAAAUUAAAAUUUGUAAGUGUGUUUGAUUUUUCUAAGUUAUCUAAAACCAAUUUCCAACAAGACCGAAAGAAGAAUUUUUCUCUCAAGAUUUAUAAAAUUGGCUUUUAAAUUUCAUUUGUAACCAUACACUUAUUAAAAGUUUGCAAGUAAAACUUUUUUUACUGCCCCAGCAAUAUAGCCAGGGAUCACAACCACUGUAAGAUUAUUGUAAUUACUUGAAAUAAAAAAAUACGUAACUACUUAAUUUGCAUUUGACAUUUAUCCAUCAUUGUCAACGGAGAAUGCAUCUUCAUGAUUGGAUGAUUUGUUAAGAUUAUUUUUCAUCGAUUUCUUUAUUAUGAUUCUAAAAAUUUAAUGUUUUUGUUAUUGUCAAUUGAUUAGCUGUUAUUCCUUCUCAUCAGCAUUAUUGUUUGCAGAUAGUUUUAAAUUUAUUGACAGAUUUUACAAAAUAUUCUUCGUUUUCUUUUUAAUGUCUGAAUGUCAAAGAUCGAGGAAGCAAUUUGAUUCAUUUUUCCUGAAUAGAAAUUUAAAAACAUGAUAUCAAAGAUCACCAUUUGAAAUUUAAUUUCAGCACUUUGAGAAAUUUUAUCACGUUUUUUGUAGAUAUAUUAAGCAAAUAUCUGUACAUUGCAUCCAUUUGCAAUUAUUUUUUAAAUCAAGAUUCUGUUCUUAUUAAAUUUAUUAAAAAUUGGUAAUAAUUAAUGAUUCAUAGAACUUCACUUUCUGACUAUGAAAUAAGUUACCAUAAAUUCAGUAUAUUGACUGUAAUGGAUAUUGCGCAUAAUUCUGAUUUAGCAACAAAUAUUUUUUUUCUCUAAGGAUCUUAACAUUAGCCUUUGAAAUAUUGUUUUAUGCUUUAUGUUAUCAGUAUCUCUAUUUUUUUUUUACUCAAAUUUUAAUCUGAAAGCAAAAUUUAUGAAAAUGAAAUUUGCUUUAAUAUGUAUUUGUAUGUUUGUCUAAUUUAAAAUAUAUCAAUCGCCGUCAAUGGCGGGGGAAACGCGUCUGUACCAUGUAUGAAACAAAUGGCAAAAGCGUUGUCCAUAUGUCUACUUUGUUCUCUAAAAGAUUAUUUGAAAUUUAAAUAUUUUCAAUAGAUAUUGCUCAAACUUAAGUUACGUGUUUGCGCACGUGAAACAGUGUUGUGCAUUGCAAAUAUGUUUUAUGCUCAUAUAUUGAAUUUGGAAAUAUUAAUUAAUGGAACUGUAAUUAUUCUUAAAUUAUGUGAUACGAUAGUGCUUUCUUCUCUUUUCAUUAAUUAUAAAAUGCACCGCAUUCAUUUUUCCUGAACAGAAAUUUAAAAACAUGGUAUCAAUGAUCAUUCAUUUGAAAUCUAAUUUCAAUAUUUUCAGAAAAAUUUUGGCAUAGUAUUUGUAGUUAUAUUAAAUAAGCAUCUGUUCAUUGCAUCGAUUUGCAGUUAGGUUUUAAGAUUUUAUUCUUGUUAAAUUUAUUUAAAUUAAUGAUUAAUUAAUUUAUUAAAAAUAAAAAAAGUUAGUAAUGCUUAGUAUUUCAAGUUCACCAUUAAUCUUUUAAUAAGUAAUAAUUUCUAAAUCUCGCCAUUUUGGCCUCCGAUUACACUUAAAUGUAUACAUCCGCCGAUAGAGGAUACUUUGAUUGACUCGGCCGGCCAGCCAAUCAAAAUGUCCUCAGAUUCUUCGAAGGCAUUUGAUCAUUGUGCCUGAUCCCCACAAUGAUCAGUAUGCCUUUGCAGAA